rnacentral:rRNA from 1 species
CGGGUUGCAGUUGCUACUGGGGGGAAGUAAGGUUCACCUGGUUCUGCCGCUCACAGUAAUGAGCCGGAUCGUCUGCUUUCGCGGGGGGGAGUCAUUCUUAAGGAAUGCUAAUACCGCUUACCUCCUACGGGAGAAAGCAGGGGACCUUCGGGCCUUGCGCUAAUAGAUGAGCCUAAGUCGGAUUAGCUAGUUGGAGGGGUAAAGGCCUACCAAGGCGACGAUCUGUACGGGUCUGAAGGAUGAUCCGCCACACUGGGACUGAACACGGCCCAACUCCUACGGGAGGCAGCAUGGGGAAUAUUGGACAAUGGGGGGAACCCUGAUCCACCAUGCCGCGUGUGUGAAGAAGGCCUUAUGGUUGUAAAGCACUUUAGCGAGGAGGAGGCUACUAUAUUAAUACUCUGGAUAGGGACGUACUCCAAAUAACC